AUGGACUCCGAGCUCUUCUUGAAAUGGCUCCACCAUUUCAUCAGAUAUGCUCCUGAGGAGAGACCACCAAUUUUAAUCAUAGACCAACACGAGACACAUGUAUCUAAAGAUGUAAUCAUGUUCUGCAGAGAAAAGAAGAUUGAAAUUCUCUGCCUACCUGCCCACACUACACACAUAAUUCAGCCCCUCGAUAUUGCGGUCUUCAACCCACUGAAGACUGCUUUCUUCACCAUGGCUUCCAGGAUGGGUCUGGUGCGAAGGGACAUUGUUGUGGGGAAGAAGCAGUUUUCAGCUCUCCUCAAACAUGUCUAUCCCACUGCUGUCACAGCCCAAAACAUCAAGGCCGGGUUUCGCAAGGCUGGCCUUUUUUUCUCUGUCCAGGGCUGCUGUGGACACAACCCAGGUGGUGAGAGUGCUCCCAUCUGUAGAUGGAAGUGACGCCACACCAUCCAGCCCUGCCGCCACACCAUCUAUCGUUCCCAUCACACCAUCCAUUACGUCACCUGCUGACACAUCAGUCAUCACUCAAACACCUUGCCCCACCUGUAACAUUAAUAAAGUGGCUCACAAAAAUUACCUGGUGGCAGCAGGUGUAAUUCCAGAGAGUCUGGCUAAUGUCCUCAUGAGUCCAGCCCUGGAGAGGAAGGAGAAGGUUAGACAAUUUGGUACUUCUCCACGGUUUAAUGACGUCAUAAUUGACCUGUGCUGGCAAAAUGAGUGUUAAUUCCCUAUUUUGAGCUACAAGCAUAAAAAAAAAUAAUAUAUAUAUAUAUAUAUAUAUAUACCUGCCAAAAUGCUCCAGGUAGUAAUUAGACUAAAAUUAUCUUGAUUUGCAUUACAGUAUAGGACGUCUGUAUCAUGUGUUAAUCUAACAAUAAAAGAAAAGAGGGAAUCACUCGUUGCACUUCAUUGAACUGCUUUUGUAGUUUUAAUAAUCAAUUUAUUUGUAUUGAACACACUUAGGUUAUUUUUACAUUUGAUUAUUCUUUUUUCGUACGUGAAUGCUUUAGAUAUAAAAUGAUAAAGGUAAUGCAUUAUUUGUUUCUUUCUAGGCUAUUUGUUCUACUGUUUUUUUUUUUUUGCAUCUGUUCUUAUUUAUAAUAUCAAAAAUAAAAUUAAAAAAAUUGUGAUUAUUAAUAUAGUAACUAACAAUAAGAAAAGACUGAGGACUUCACUCUAUAGACUUUAAAUGGAUGUGGCUCAGUCAUUUUUUGUCCGAUUCCAACAAAUCAUAAAUCAUUUUGAAGGUCUUUUAAUGGAAAAAGUCUUUUUUUUUUUAAUUGCUCAUUGUGACUUGUUUUGUCAGCACAGGUCACAUUAUUCUCAGGAGGAAACACAUGUGGAGGCGGUAAAUGACAAUGCAUGCGCAAAUUUUGCUAUAAGUUUGAUCGCAACCAAGCGGCAACCUCCCGCUCUCUCUCGUGAAGCCCAUACGGAAGUGACUUAAACUGUAAUUCAACUGGCCGCAAGAGGCUGGCUGCAAAAGGGAGUCAAUCCCAUAGACCCCCAUUACAUUAGAGCUUAAAGGGUCAUGAAACCCCCUGUUUCAGCACGGGUUAGUACACACCACAGUUUUAAAAAAGGCUAAAAAAGUGGGCGUGGUGCGCAGCGGCCGAGGAGGAGGAGGAAGAAGAAGAAGAAGAGGGGAGACAGACAGUUUCAUUUCACUCCUAUCAAGUUAAAAACACAAAUAAAUGCACAGCCAUUUGCACUCUGCAUCGAAAACAUAUAUAUGAACGCACUGUUGCACCUCUGAGAACUUUUAAGGCUUAUUCUGUGGCGUUUAUAUAAGUCUUUUGACAGAAAAACGGUUAUGCUCACCAAGUAAAUGAAUCGUGUUUGUGCCGAACUCUUAUUACAGAACAAAAACAAACACUCUUCUUCAGUCCAUGAACGUUUCUCUCAGUUGAUGUGUGCGAUAUCAUGUCACAGUAUGAAACGUCUGUCAUAGCGAAUCAACACAUGCGGUUGUGAAUAAUUAAGCGAAGCCUCUUCUCAUAGGAUAAGAAAAUGCAGUCUCAUGAAUAAUUUAAUAGACACCGACGCGUCAUCUAUGUACUAUAGUCCACUGCCACGUCACAGAUUGUGACGUCAACACAAUGUAGAUUUUAAACCCGGAAGAUGAAAAUAGCGCAAAAAAGCUUAAAAUUAACCAGUUUUCUCCAACAGUUAAAAUUAUCGGAUGCCAACAUUGUCUUCUAUGAGGUGCAACAUAAACACCUCUGCUAAAAUCUCAGAAAAAGUAGUCUGGGGUUUCAUGACCCUUUAAAGUUCUGCAUAAUUAAAGGCGUGGCCACUUGAGUGACAGGUGGAUUGCCGCUGCUGUCACCACCAUCAAGCUAUAGGUGGCUAUGGCUUCAGUAACCAGCUCCCACCUUUUUGCCAAUUUUCGAUUAUCCGGGAGUGACGCACUGCCAAGUUGGCGACGGCCGGCUCCGCCUACUUUUUGGCUUCAAAAACGUUCUUUGGAAACCUAUGGGUGACGUCACCGACACUACGUCCAUGUUUUUAUACAGUCUAUGAUCGCAACAUAUAAUCAUUGCUGUUAAUAGUGUUCACCGUCUGUUCAAUUACAUGACAUUAACUAACUGCUUGAUUUUUCCAUACAUUUUUGCCAUAUGGACAUCAACUUGAGACCGUCACCACUGAUAAGCUAUUACUAAAUAUAAUGUAGAAACUUAAAUUUUAGUAAAGCUGCUUUGCACGGAUUAUCAUUGUGAAAAGUGUUAUACAAAUAAACUUGAAUUGAAUAUUUCUUUCUUUUAGCCUGUUCUUCCUAAAAGCCUCCCCAUGGAGAUUGGCCUGUCAUUCAUAACCAUAGGGUCCUAGUGUUCCUCAGAUCAUUAAACUGCUGGACUGGGAGGACAACACAGACCAUUGCAUCAUGGUCAUGGAGCGGCACAAGCCCUGCAUGGACUUGAAUAGUUGCAUGACACUCCAAAGAGGAUUUGCAGCCAGCGAGGUACUGAGACAUCAAACCGAAGAACCUGCUGGUGAACCAGAACACCCUGGAGGUCAAACUGAUCGACUCUGAAUGCAGAGAGUUCAUUAAAAAGUUAAUUAUCUCACAGAAACACAUCCUAUUAUGUAAUCAACAUGUGAAUGUGUGUCAGUCAUCUUUACUGCAAGCACAAGAGCGUGCUGUCUACCAGAAGUCAUGCAAAGCUAAUGACCAUGUGGUAAUAGGGCAUACUCCUGUUUGAAAUGGUGUGUGGAUAUUAUCCCACAGACAACGACCUACACGAUCAAUGAGAGCAACCUGCACCAGACCUAGCGUGUCACAAUGUGAGAUCUUCAAAGAACAAAAAUGGACAAUUUGAAUUCUAAAUCACACACAAAAAAAACACUAAGCAUUAAAGGUGCAGUGUGUAAAUUUUAUUGCCAUCUAGCUGUGAGGUUGCGAAUUGCAACCAAUGGCUCAGUCCCCCACAAGUUUUGUAUUUAAUUUGGAAACCAAGGUCCUAGAGCAGGGAUAGGCAACUUCGGUCCUGGAGGGCCACUGUCCUGCAGAGUUUAGCUCCAACCCUAAUUAAACACACCUGAACAAGGCAAUCAGUGUUUUCGGGAUUACUAGAUAGAUACAGGCAGGUGAGUUUUUAUGAGGGCUGAAGCUAAACUCUGCAGGAUAGUGGCCCUCCACGACCGGAGUUGCCUAUCCCUGUCCUAGAGUCUGGAGGAAGGGUGGAGAAGCUCAUAGCCCAAGUUGCUUGAAGUCCAGUGUUAAGUUUUGGGGUGCAAUGUCAUCUGCUGGUGUUGGUCCAUUAUGCUUUUUGAAAACCAAAGUCACUGCACCCUUUUACCAAGAAAUUUUGGAGCACUUCAUGCUUCCUUCUGCUGACCAGCUUUUUGAAGAUGCUGAUUUAAUUUUCCAGCAGGAUUUGGCACCUGCCCACACUGACAAAAGCACCAAAAGUGGGUUAAAUGACCAUGGUGUUGGUGUGCUUGACUGGCCAGCAAACUCACCAGACCUGGGGCCUCAUUUAUAAAGCGUGCGUACGCACAAAACGGGGCUGGAAACGUACGUACGCCAGUUCCCACGCAAAGGUUGUGAUCUAUAAAAAACAAACUUGACGGGAGAAUGUGCGCACCUUUAAGCAAACUUUGAGCCGUGCGUACGCACAUUCUGGAGACAAAGGGAAUUGGCGACACCGAUGGUGAGGUCGUGAACUGAAGUUAGAUUGUAGAAAAUAAAUGUGAGAAGAACGAUUAUAAGAAUGAAUGACAUUUAAUUUUCACUCCAUUUCAUACGUUAUAUCCACAUUAUCAUGAAGAUUAAAUCCAACAGUGUUAUUUGUGCCGAUUGUUUUAGGCUAUAUACAUCUAGUAAAAUCCAAACGUAAUUCAAAAUGUAUUAAAAGUAAAAUAAAAUAAUAAUCAGCGCUGCCUUACAGUCACAUUGUCCACAACGGGAGCACAGGAGGACAUGGCGCGAUACAUGUGAUAGCCUACAGAAUAGCAUGAAAUACCCUUUUAUUAGAGAACUGCAGAACACAGUGUAAAAAGGAAAUAUUUUCCUUAAUGUACAUAGCCUAUAUCAUAAAAUGUCAAAGUCUGCAAAUACAGUCAUGAAGCACAAUCGCUACUCAUCAUCGGUCCUAACUAUUACGGUGUUCAUUACAAAACCGUCAAGAAGCAUGU
ensembl:lncRNA